rnacentral:ncRNA from 1 species
UCGGUCCUCGGUAGUGGUCACCGGGCUCAGGCCCCGAUGACUUCGAUCGAAGACCGG